AGCUUGCUCCCUGAUGUUAGCGGCGGACGGGUGAGUAACACGUGGGUAACCUGCCUGUAAGACUGGGAUAACUCCGGGAAACCGGGGCUAAUACCGGAUGGUUGUUUGAACCGCAUGGUUCAAACAUAAAAGGUGGCUUCGGCUACCACUUACAGAUGGACCCGCGGCGCAUUAGCUAGUUGGUGAGGUAACGGCUCACCAAGGCAACGAUGCGUAGCCGACCUGAGAGGGUGAUCGGCCACACUGGGACUGAGACACGGCCCAGACUCCUACGGGAGGCAGCAGUAGGGAAUCUUCCGCAAUGGACGAAAGUCUGACGGAGCAACGCCGCGUGAGUGAUGAAGGUUUUCGGAUCGUAAAGCUCUGUUGUUAGGGAAGAACAAGUACCGUUCGAAUAGGGCGGUACCUUGACGGUACCUAACCAGAAAGCCACGGCUAACUACGUGCCAGCAGCCGCGGUAAUACGUAGGUGGCAAGCGUUGUCCGGAAUUAUUGGGCGUAAAGGGCUCGCAGGCGGUUUCUUAAGUCUGAUGUGAAAGCCCCCGGCUCAACCGGGGAGGGUCAUUGGAAACUGGGGAACUUGAGUGCAGAAGAGGAGAGUGGAAUUCCACGUGUAGCGGUGAAAUGCGUAGAGAUGUGGAGGAACACCAGUGGCGAAGGCGACUCUCUGGUCUGUAACUGACGCUGAGGAGCGAAAGCGUGGGGAGCGAACAGGAUUAGAUACCCUGGUAGUCCACGCCGUAAACGAUGAGUGCUAAGUGUUAGGGGGUUUCCGCCCC
rnacentral:rRNA from 1 species